rnacentral:rRNA from 1 species
GCGCGAAACCUCUGCAAUAGGCGAAAGCUUGACAGGGUUACUCUGAGUGAUUUUCGCUAAGAAAAUCUUUUGGCACCUCUAAAAAUGGUGCAGAAUAAGGGGUGGGCAAGUCUGGUGUCAGCCGCCGCGGUAAUACCAGCACCCCGAGUGGUCGGGACGAUUAUUGGGCCUAAAGCAUCCGUAGCCGGUCCCACAAGUCCUCCGUUAAAUCCAACUGCUUAACAGAUGGGCCGCGGAGGAUACUAUGGGGCUAGGAGGCAGGAGAGGCAAGCGGUACUCAGUGGUAGGGGUAAAAUCCGUUGAUCCACUGAAGACCACCAGUGGCGAAGGCGGCUUGCCAGAAUGCGCUCGACGGUGAGGGAUGAAAGCUGGGGGA